UUUGGAAGUGCCAACUCAGAAAAAUUUCAAGUUUUCAUCUCAUAAACAUUUGCACAUCGCAUCCUACAAAAUGAAAUACAGACCCACUCCUCAACCUGAAGCUUAGCCAUGGCAGAAGCAGGCAGAUGAAAAGUGAAUCACCAAAACCCUUUCCACUGUCAAACUGAUCACACACAAAAAUCAUGGAGCAGCAGAACCUGAAGAAAGUCUGUCACGCCUUGCUUUAUCAGCCUUUUCCAUGUAAUCUUGAUGAGACGAGUGCUUUGUUCCUAUGGGAGAAAAGAUUGUCAUAGUUAAUAGCAGCUGAUAUUUUUGCGGGCGAAACAACAAUGAAAUUGAUAAACCGACGUGAAAAAAUGACACCCACUUCUCAAACGGUGACGGUGGUUGAUUGUUGGCUUGGCUGAGAGCAAGCUACAAGAGAAGACUGAUUCGGGAUGUUAAUUUGGGAUUUUCAAUUUGGGAUUUUCAAGAGAAG
rnacentral:lncRNA from 1 species